rnacentral:misc_RNA from 1 species
GGGAGUAAAGAUUGAGACAAGUAGGACUUCGGUCCGAAUACACUCAUGAACUCCC